rnacentral:rRNA from 1 species
AUUGAACGCUGGCGGCAGGCCUAACACCUGCAAGUCGAACGAGUGGCGGACGGGUGAGUAAUGUCUGGGCAACUGCCUGAUGGAGGGGGAUAACUACUGGAAACGGUAGCUCAUACCGCAUACCAUCAGAUGUGCCCAGAUGGGAUUAGCUUGUUGGUGGGGUACCGGCUCACCAAGGCUACGAUCCCUAGCUGGUCGGAGAGGAUGACCAGCCACACGGGAACUGAGACACGGGCCCGACUCCUACGUGAGGCAGCAUUGGGGAAUAUUGCACAAUGGGCGCAAGCCUGAGGCAGCCAUGCCGCGUGUAUGAAGAAGGCCUUCGGGUUGUAAAGUACUUUCAGCGGGGAGGCGUUACCCGCAGAAGAAGCACCGGCUAACUCCGUGCCAGCCACCGCGGUAAUAC